ACCUGUCUCAAAAAAAAAAAAAAAAAGAAAAAAGUUAAAAGAAAUAUACAGGGAAUACUGACAUACCCCCAUCUAGAUUCUAUAAUUAAGAUCAUGCAAUCUGGGCUUUAUUACAUAUCUACCCAUCACACCAUCUUAUUUCAAAAAGUAUUUCAAAGUAAACUGCAAAUAUCAGUACAUGCAACCCCCCAGCCCCCACCCCCCAACAAAAAUUUGUUUAAAAUGUAGUUUCUACCUUCUCUGCCAAGGUUGUUGUGCAGCACCUACCAGCCACAGCACAGUUGACGCUAUGUGAUUGUGUCCUGUUGAGCCUCGAGGAGGAUGGGAAAUUGGAGAGGAUGUAGGUGAUAUAGGCACGUUCCGAGGAGCUGACUACUGGGCAGGAACGUCUCUCAGGAGAAAGAGUGGAAGAGAAAAUUGUGAACUAAGGCCCCCUGCCCCCUUUUCCUGUUGCAUGUGAAGUUAUCAAAAAUAG